rnacentral:rRNA from 1 species
AGAGUUUGAUUCUGGCUCAGGACGAACGCUGGCGGUGCGCCUAAUGCAUGCAAGUCUACUACUUGUGACCUCGGUCACGUUAUAGUGGUGGCAGACGGCUUAGUAACACGUAAGUAAUCUACCCUCAAGUGGGGGAUAAUCCGAAGAAAUUCGGUCCAAUACCCCAUAAUGUUUUAAUAUAUAUGUAUUGAAAAGAAAGAUUUAUCGCUUUUGGAGGAGCUUGCGGCCUAUCAGGUAGUUGGUAAGGGUAAUGGCCUACCAAGCCAAAGACGGGUAACCGAAGUGAGAGCUUGAUCGGUAAGAGGGGGACUGAGACACGGCCCCCACUCCUACGGGAGGCAGCAGCAGGGAAUCUUGCACAAUGGACUGUAUGGUCUGACGCAGCGACACCGCGUGGAGGAUGAAUGCUUUCGGGUUGUAAACUCCUUUUCUUAGGGAAGAUGAUGACGGUACCUAAGGAAUAAGCAUCGGCUAACUACGUGCCAGCAGCCGCGGUAAUACGUAGGAUGCGAGCGUUGUCCGGAAUUAUUGGGCGUAAAGGGCGUCUAGGUUGAUUAAUAAGUCCUGUGUGAAAUCUCUUGGCUCAACCAAGAAAUGUCACAGGAAACUAUUAAUCUAGAGGUCAUCAGAGGUAAGUGGAAUUCACGGAGUAGUGGUGAAAUGCGUAGAUACCGUGAGGAACACCAGAGGCGAAAGCGGCUUACUAGGAUGAACCUGACACUAAAGCGCGAAAGCGUGGGUAGCAAACCGGAUUAGAUACCCGGGUAGUCCACGCCAUAAACGAUGGAUACUAGUUAUGGGAGGCAUUGACCCAUCUGUAACGAAGCUAACGCAUUAAGUAUCCCGCCUGGGGAGUACGGCCGCAAGGUUAAAACUCAAAGAAAUUGAC